UACGGAGGGUGCAAGCGUUAUCCGGAUUCACUGGGCGUAAAGGGCGCGUAGGCGGUCAGCACAAGUCAGUUGUGAAAUCUCCGGGCUUAACUCGGAAAGGUCAACUGAUACUGUGCGACUAGAGUGCAGAAGGGGCAACUGGAAUUCUCGGUGUAGCGGUGAAAUGCGUAGAUAUCGAGAGGAACACCUGCGGCGAAGGCGGGUUGCUGGGCUGACACUGACGCUGAUGCGCGAAAGCCAGGGGAGCGAACGGG
rnacentral:rRNA from 1 species